CCUGGCCAAGGUGAAUAAUGGUAAAGAAGAUAGAGACAGGACCUGCGACUUCAUCAGCAAGAGGAGAUCCCAGAUGAGGAAAGUCCUUUCACCAAUGCAGAGGGCUGCAGUGAAGAAAAUGCUUUGCACCCUAGAAAUAGAAACUGCGGAUCGGAAGAAGUCUCAAGGAGGGCAAAGGGGUUUAUUGGAUCUGAAGGCAAAGACCCAGGGCCCAAAUCUGACUUCGGUCAUUUAUGCUGUGACCCUGACAACAGCCUAUGGACCUUAACUGUGGCCAGAAAACAACAAGGACC